AUGGGUUUUUUGGGUGAUAAAUUCACAUGGCAUCGAGGACGGAUCCGAAAACGACUAGACAGGGGUUUGGUGAAUAAAGCAUGGGCGAACCUUUUUCCCAUGGCAGCUUUGGAAAACUUGCAGUACAACAACUCGGAUGAUAGACCAUUGUUGGUCAACACUGAACACUAUAUUGUGCCCGUUCAUGGCGAUGCAAGACCAAUGAGAUUUGAGUCGAGGUGGUUGCGAGAAGCAAAGUUCAAUGAUACUGUAAUGGACGCUUGGCAGAAAGUAGGAUCGGACCCUACAGCCAACUCGGUUUAUGAGAAGUUAAAUCGCAUGCAUGCGAUGUUCUACGAUUGGGACCAGAGGGUUUUGAAGAAACCUAAACAGCGCCUCCGUAAGGCGCAGCGUGAUCUUGAGAGGGUGAUAAGAGGCCCAAUUAUUGACGACAGUGAAGAAGCGCGCAAAGAGCUUUCAGAGCUGAUUGAAUACCUACUAAAACUUGAAGAAAUUCAUAUGAUGCAAAUGUCACGUAUUUCGUGGCUGAAAAAUGGUGAUAGAAAUACGGGCUUCUUUCAAGCCUAUGCUUCGGCAAGGAGAAAAAGAAAUUUUAUCAAAAAGUUGAAAGACUCGGAUGGAAAUUGGAUGGAAGGUAGAACGGAACUAAACCCACAUAUUCAGAGUUACUUCUCCAACCUUUUUACAUCGGAGGUACAAUACACCGAUCCAUCUAUUCUUGUUAAGGUCAAUUCCAAAGUUACAGCUCAGAUGAACAACAUGUUAUUAGCUCCUUAUACUCCGGAUGAUGUUCGUAAAGCUGUUUUUAGCAUCGGUGAUCUUAAGGCACCAGGGCCUGAUGGCCUCCAUGCAGUCUUUUUCAAAAAAUACUGGCAUAUAUUAGGGGAGGAGAUAACCCAAGAAGUUCUUAUUGCAAUUAUUUCAAGGCAGAUCCCAGCUGAAUGGAAUGAUACAACGAUUGUUUUGGUUCCUAAAGUUGACUCUCCAGAGAUGGUAACUCAAUUCAGACCUAUUAGCCUUUGCAAUGUUUUGUACAAGAUUAUAUCAAAGAUGCUUGCUGCUCGAUUGAAAACAGUUUUUCCUGAUAUUAUUUCUCCAACCCAAAGUGCCUUUGUUCCUGGGAGGCUCAUUACUGAUAACAUUAUCAUCGCUUAUGAAUGUAUUCAUAAAAUAAAAAUAAAAGAGUGGGCCAAUCAGGUCUAUGUGCAGUCAAGUUGGAUAUGCAUAAAGCAUAUGAUCGAGUAG
rnacentral:rRNA from 1 species